rnacentral:piRNA from 1 species
UACAAUGAGGGUUCCAGUGUGAUUUUCUGC